GACGAACGCUGGCGGCGCGCCUAAUACAUGCAAGUCGAGCGAGAAGACGUAGCAAUACGUUUGUAAAGCGGCGAACGGGUGAGGAAUACAUGGGUAACCUACCCUCGAGUGGGGAAUAACUAGCCGAAAGGUUAGCUAAUACCGCGUACGCUCCUUGGACUUCGGUUCAGGGAGGAAAGCGAUACCGUGGGUAUCGCGCUCUUGGAUGGGCUCAUGUCCUAUCAGCUUGUUGGUGAGGUAACGGCUCACCAAGGCUUCGACGGGUAGCUGGUCUGAGAGGACGAUCAGCCACACUGGCACUGCGACACGGGCCAGACUCCUACGGGAGGCAGCAGUAAGGAAUAUUGCGCAAUGGGCGAAAGCCUGACGCAGCGACGCCGCGU
rnacentral:rRNA from 1 species